rnacentral:rRNA from 1 species
GAUGAACGCUGGCGGCGUGCCUAAUACAUGCAAGUCGAGCGAAUCGUGGACGGGUGAGUAACACGUGGAUAACCUCCUAUAAGACUGGGAUAACUUCGGGAAACCGGAGCUAAUCCGGAUGCUUAUAGAUGGAUCCGCGUUGCAUUAGCUAGUUGGUACGGUAACGGCUUACCAAGGCAACGAGGCAUAGCCGACCGGAGAGGAUGAUCGGCAACACUGGAACUGAGACACGGUCCAGACUCCGACGGGAGGAAGCAGUAGGGAAUCUGCCGCAAUGGGCGAAAGCCUGACGGAGCAACGCCGCGUGAGUGAUGAAGGUCUUCGGAUCGUAAAACUCUGUUAUUAGGGAAGCGGUACCUAAUCAGAAAGCAACGGCUAACUACGUGCCAGCCGCCGCGGUAAUUC